AUUUGAUUUCAUCCGUUUCAAGGCCCUGUGGAAAACCACAAACGCGCGAUCGGAAGAUGAAUGCCAUGAACUGAAUUAUUGCCAUGAGCUUGUAAAAUAUUUCCUAACCGCAUGUUAAAAACUAUCCGAAAACCGCUAUUUAUUUUGGUCAAUAACCGAAUCCGGAGUGUUAAUUUCGACAUUUUCCGUCUCCGAACGAUUUCCAGUUAACCGCAAACCGUACAAAAUAACUGGAUAUAACCGAAAUCCGACCUCAAAAUAUGGCUAAAACCGCAUAACCGCGAAACUAUAAUAGGCCCCCUCUACUAUGUGCUGGGGCCUUAUAUUUUUAUACUGAAGACGCGCAUAGCAUAGCCAUAGCGUGAUGAAU